AUAGAUGCAACAUGCUUGAGAUUGGGUAUUUUGCAAGUUGUGGGGAUAGACGAAACAAGACUGGCAAAAUGUUGGGAAUCAUUGAAGCUAGGUGAUGGGUACGAGUUGAUUUUGUUCAUUUUGUGUUUUUUUUGUUUUAUUGAAUGUCUCAAAACUUAUAAUUGUUUUAAAAAGGCUUCAAAGAGACAAAAAGAUGUGCCUGGAAGCAUCAGCGUAUUAGGUUGGAACUGACGUUUUAAUUAUUGUGGUAGGGGCCUACGCAGGAGGGAAAGGGUGACCUGAAAGGCCUGGAAAAAAUCAGGUUUCAUUUCUUACCUGUACAUAUGCGCUAUGUGAAAAAUUACUCUGAAUUGGGACUUGGAAUUCAGUUAUGGCUGCUUAGAGAAUCCUUCAGUUGCUUGCCAUGGUUAUUGUUAAGGAAAGCUCUACAAAGUAGUGGGGCGUACAAAUUAGGUAUGUACACCAGGUGGAGAGCAAGGUGAUUGGAAAGGAGAGGUGAGUUUUGAGCUGCACUUGACUUGCUGAAGGCCCAAGGAGAACUGGGAUUGUUCAAGGUCUUCUCGAUGCAGGUAGAAAAUAUAAUGCCUAGUCCUUGUUCAGGUGCCCUCUGGCUCCAAUGUCACAAUCAUCUGUUUCAUUUCUUCCUUCUCAGGCAAAUGAAGAUGUGACACAGAUUGUGGAGAUUCUCCAUUCUGGACCUAGUAAAUGGAACUGGCUUACCCGGCGUCUGGUAGAAUUUACCUCUUCAGGGAGUGUCCUCCUCUUUGUUACUAAAAAAGCCAAUGCUGAAGAGCUAGCGAAUAACCUUAAACAGGAGGGUCAUAAUCUUGGGCUGCUCCAUGGGGAUAUGGAUCAGAGUGAGAGAAACAAGGUCAUUUCAGACUUUAAGAAAAAGGACAUCCCAGUCCUGGUGGCCACAGAUGUUGCAGCCCGUGGUCUGGACAUUCCUUCAAUUAAGACUGUCAUUAACUAUGAUGUGGCACGAGACAUUGAUACCCACACGCAUAGGAUUGGCCGCACAGGAAGAGCGGGUGAGAAGGGUGUGGCCUAUACCCUACUCACUCCCAAGGACAGCAAUUUUGCUGGUGAUCUGGUCCGGAACUUGGAAGGAGCCAAUCAACAUGUUUCUAAGGAACUCCUAGAUCUGGCAAUGCAGAAUGCCUGGUUUCGGAAAUCUCGAUUCAAAGGAGGGAAAGGAAAAAAGCUGAACAUUGGUGGAGGAGGCCUAGGCUACAGGGAGCGGCCUGGCCUGGGCUCUGAGAACAUGGAUCGAGGAAAUAACAAUGUAAUGAGCAAUUAUGAGGCCUACAAGCCUUCCACAGGAGCUAUGGGAGAUCGACUAACGGCAAUGAAAGCAGCUUUCCAGUCACAGUACAAGAGUCACUUUGUUGCAGCCAGUUUAAGUAAUCAGAAGGCUGGAAGCUCUGCUGCUGGGGCAAGUGGGUGGACUAGUGCAGGGAGCUUGAAUUCUGUUCCAACUAACUCAGCACAACAGGGCCAUAACAGUCCUGACAGCCCCGUCACCAGUGCCACCAAGGGCAUCCCAGGCUUUGGCAAUACUGGCAACAUCAGUGGUGCCCCUGUGACCUACCCGUCUGCCGGAGCCCAAGGAGUCAACAACACAGCUUCAGGGAAUAACAGCCGAGAAGGGACUGGGGGCAGCAACGGGAAAAGAGAGAGAUAUACUGAGAACCGGGGCAGCAGCCGUCACAGUCACGGAGAGACUGGCAAUCGGCAUAGCGAUAGUCCACGUCACGGAGAUGGUGGUCGCCAUGGAGAUGGAUACCGCCAUCCAGAAAGCAGCAGCCGUCAUACUGAUGGCCAUCGGCACGGGGAGAACAGACAUGGAGGAAGCGCAGGCCGGCAUGGGGAGAACCGGGGUGCAAAUGAUGGUCGGAAUGGGGAAAGCAGGAAAGAAGCUUGUAAUCGUGAGAGCAAGAUGGAGCCCAAGAUGGAACCCAAAGUGGACAGCAGCAAGAUGGACAAGGUGGACAGCAAGACAGAUAAGACAGCUGACGGCUUUGCUGUCCCAGAGCCGCCUAAACGCAAGAAAAGUCGAUGGGACAGUUAGAGGGGAUGUGCUAAAGCGUGAAAUCAGUUGUCCUUAAUUUUUAGAAAGAUUUUGGUAACUAGGUGUCUCAGGGCUGGGUUGGGGUCCAAAGUGUAAGGACCCCCUGCCCUUAGUGGAGAGCUGGAGCUUGGAGACAUUACCCCUUCAUCAGAAGGAAUUUUCGGAUGUUUUCUUGGGAAGCUGUUUUGGUCCUUGGAAGCAGUGAGAGCUGGGAAGCUUCUUUUGGCUCUAGGUGAGUUGUCAUGAGGGUAAGUUGAGGUUAUCCUGGGAUAAAGGGCCUUCUAGGGCACAAAACUCACUCUAGGUUUAUAUUAUAUGUAGCUUAUAUUUUUUACUAAGGUGUCACCUUAUAAGCAUCUAUAAAUUGACUUCUUUUUCUUAGUUGUAUGGCCAGGCAGUCCCCAUUUUAGGAGUUGGCUUCUGCAAAUUCAAUCCAUUGAGCUAACUGUUGGGGAGCAAUUUGGUAGUUGUAGACAUUUGCAGGGAAGGGAGAUGUCUGAUUCUAAAUGGGAGUUGAUGCUCAGGUCCCCAGCCAGGUUUGCAUCCAGCCCUGAGACAUGUAGGAAACACCUUUCAGACCCAGGCUCUGAAGAUUCCCAGAAGCCACAAGGAUUGAAGGGAAAAGGUGAUCCUGGUAACUGUUCCAGGAUUGCUCCAGGUUUGAGAUGGUAUUGUUAAAUUUAAAAUUAAACAAGAAACCCAACAACAGCUUUUAAAGUGUCUUCUAUUUCAUUGUAUUUUUUUUAACUUGCCCCAAUGAUAGAAAAGUCUUUUGCUGAAAUGAUUUUGAUGAUUUUUGUUUAUCUUGUUUAUAAAAAGGAAAAGAAAUACACAAACUUUGACUUUUGUGA
rnacentral:sRNA from 1 species